rnacentral:rRNA from 1 species
CAGUAGCCGCGGGAAUACGUAGGGUGCAAGCGUUAAUCGGAAUUACUGGGCGUAAAGCGUGCGCAGGCGGUUUCGUAAGACAGAUGUGAAAUCCCCGGGCUUAACCUGGGAACUGCAUUUGUGACUGCGAGGCUAGAGUGUGUCAGAGGGGGGUGGAGUUCCACGUGUAGCAGUGAAAUGCGUAGAGAUGUGGAGGAACACCGAUGGCGAAGGCAGCCCCCUGGGCCAAUACUGACGCUCAUGCACGAAAGCGUGGGGAGCAAACAGGAUUAGAUACCCCCGUAGUCCCUGUCUCUUAUAC